rnacentral:rRNA from 1 species
AACGAACGCUGGCGGCAUGCCUAACACAUGCAAGUCGAACGAGACCUUCGGGUCUAGUGGCGCACGGGUGCGUAACGCGUGGGAACCUGCCCUUAGGUUCGGAAUAACUCCCCGACAGGGGUGCUAAUACCGGAUAAUGUCUUCGGACCAAAGAUUUAUCGCCUUUGGAUGGGCCCGCGUUGGAUUAGCUAGUUGGUAGGGUAAAAGCCUACCAAGGCGACGAUCCAUAGCUGGUCUGAGAGGAUGAUCAGCAACACUGGGACUGAGACACGGCCCAGACUCCUACGCGAGGCAGCAGUGGGGAAUAUUGGACAAUGGGCUAAAGCCUGAUGCAGCACUGCCGCGUGAGUGAUGAAGGCCUUAGGGUUGUAAAGCUCUUUUACCCGGGAUGAUAAUGACGGUACCGGGAGAAUAAGCCCCGGCUAACUCCGUG